AGCAGCCGCGGUAAUUCCAGCUCCAAUAGCGUAUAUUAAAGUUGUUGCAGUUAAAAAGCUCGUAGUUGAAUUUCGGGAUCAAUAUGUUGGUCGUGCCUUGGUACGUACUGGCAUUAUUGGUUUUUACCUUCUGAAGAACCUCGAUGUCAUUAAUUUGGUGUCUUGGGGAAUCAGGACUGUUACUUUGAAAAAAUUAGAGUGUUUAAAGCAGGCUCGCGCUUGAAUACAUUAGCAUGGAAUAAUGAAAUAGGACGUUUGAUUCUAUUUUGUUGGUUUCUAGGAUUGACGUAAUGAUUAAUAGGGAUAGUUGGGGGCAUUAGUAUUCAAUUGUCAGAGGUGAAAUUCUUGGAUUAUUGAAGACUAACUACUGCGAAAGCAUUUGCCAAGGAUGUUUUCAUUAAUCAAGAACGAAAGUUAGGGGAUCGAAGACGAUCAGAUACCGUCGUAGUCUUAACCAUAAACUAUGCCGACUAGGGAUCGGAUGAUGUUAAUUUUUUAAUGACUCAUUCGGCGCCUUACG
rnacentral:rRNA from 1 species